CUGAUCUGGAGCGGAGAAAGGAUCAUCACAAAAGGGAUCUGGAUUAGGUGCAGGGAAGAAGCUGAGAUUGGUAGAAGAUGAGUUUUCAGAUAGUUGAUGUGUAAAGAAGCAAGGAGCAAUCAGCGAUGUACAUAAAAUGCAAUAAGAAGGACCUCAGUUCUAUAUUUGCAGAGAAUAACUUGACACUUGCAUCAGGCUUGGCGGCUGGAGCCACAUCGGCGGUGGUACUGGUGCUGGAUUCUACAUCAGUAGACAUGUUUGCAGGACGACCUCAAAAUA